CCAACUGACCAAUAAUCUUUCUAAAAGGAUGACAAACAAGGAGAAAAAAAGAAGGCAUUUCAUGGCAUCAUAAACAUCGCGCUUUAUUUUUCAUCUCACGGAGCCUGUCUGGGUUUGGUUACGCUCGGGAGCUCGACGAGCACUCAGAAGCCAACACGCAUAAGAAAAAUCACGUCACUGCCGCCACUGAGGCGCACGAAGGAGCAGUCGCGGCUCUCCGCGUCCAUCUGUGUGUGUCCAGCGGUCAUCAAUCACUCCAGGAAUGGGACCUGCGUGGGUGGAGCGGCACUCUGGUCCUCGGUAAAUAGCAAAGAAAUGUGCUCAAAGAGAGGCUGCGAGGGCACAGGGAGGUG
ensembl:lincRNA Gm16013 predicted gene 16013